UUCUUAUCAAGAGCAGGUGGAGGGACUAGCCCUUUGAAGCCCGGCAACCGACCUAAUGUAUUAGGCACGGUGCUAAUUCUUGCAGCAAGUAUGCUGAGAGAUAAGAG
rnacentral:ncRNA from 2 species